rfam:Buceros rhinoceros silvestris contig113402, whole genome shotgun sequence.
GCAGAGGUUUUUUUUGAAACCACCAUUUUUUUUUUUUACUCACUUU